rnacentral:rRNA from 1 species
GGUUUUAGGAUGACGGAUAUAAAUUCUGCCCUGCUCAAUGUUAUAUAAAUGGCCGCAGUAUUUUGACUGUGCGAAGGUAGCAUAAUAAUUAGGCCAUUAAUUGUGGUCUUGUAUGAAAGGUUCGACAUGAAGUAGACUUUCUUUUUUUCAAGGAUGAAUUUAAAUUAUUGGUGAGAAUGCCAAUAUGAGAUAAUUAGACGAGAAGACCCUAUUAAGUUUUUUAUUCACCUCAUUGUGUGUAUUUUGUUGGGGUAACAGUUAAUUAAUAUUAUAUUUUAUUGAUCCAUUAUUAGUGAUUAUUAGAACAAAUUACUAUAGGGAUAACAGCGUAAUUUUAUUGGAGAGUUCACAUUGAUAAUAUAGUUUGCGACCUCGAUGUUGGAUUAGGAUAACCUGUAGGCGCAGGUGCUUAGUAAGGGAAACUGGUCCUCUAUUAAAUUCCUACA